rnacentral:rRNA from 1 species
GACGAACGCUGGCGGCGCGCUUAACACAUGCAAGUCGAACGGAAAGGCCUGCUUUCCCUUGUGGAUUGCGGGUACUCGAGUGGCGAACGGGUGAGUAACACGUGAGUGAUCUGCCCCCAACUUGGGUAUAAGCCUGGGAAACUGGGUCUAAUUCCCGAUAGGACUGCAGGGUGGUGCCUGUGGUGGAAAACGAUUUUCUAGUGGUUGGGGAUGAGCUCGCGGCCUAUCAGCUUGUUGGUGGGGUAAUGGCCUACCAAGGCGGCGACGGGUAGCCGGCCUGAGAGGGUGGACGGCCACAUUGGGACUGAGAUACGGCCCAGACUCCUACGGGAGGCAGCAGUGGGGAAUAUUGCACGAUGGGCGGAAGCCUGAUGCAGCGACGCCGCGUGGGGGAUGACGGCCUUCGGGUUGUAAACUCCUUUCGACCGCGAGGAAGCCACCUGGUUGGAAGGGUGGUGACGGUAGUGGUAGAAGAAGCACCGGCUAACUACGUG